GAGAGAGACAUGCGCGCAUAUCAAUAAGCGGAGGAAAAGAAACUAACAAGGAUUCCCUUAGUAACGGCGAGUGAAGCGGGAAGAGCUCAAAUUUGAAAUCUUCAAGGUUUUACCUUGACGAAUUGUAGUUUAAAGAAGUGUUUUCUGCUGAAGUUUUGGUAAAAGUUCUUUGGAAUAGGACAUCAUAGAGGGUGAGAAUCCCGUAUUUGACCAUUAUUUUCAGCUUUGUGAUACACUUUCAAAGAGUCGGAUUGUUUGGGAAUGCAGUCCAAAAUGGGUGGUAAAUUUCAUCUAAAGCUAAAUAUUGGCGAGAGACCGAUAGCGAACAAGUACCGUGAGGGAAAGAUGAAAAGAACUUUGAAAAGAGAGUUAAACAGUACGUGAAAUUGUCAAAAGGGAAGCGUUUGACACCAGUGUUGUUUUCUCGAAAAUCAAUUAAAAAUGGCUCGAUUUUGUAUUGUUGAGACCUUAAAAGCUCACUGUACAUUUUUCGUGUCCUUUUUAAUGCACUUUUCGUUUAACAAGUCAACAUCAGUUUCUUUUGUUGUAAAAGGGUCAUUGGAAGAUGGCUUUCUUUUCGGAGAAAGUGUUUAUAGCCUUUGGCCUCUGCAAUCGGAAGAGACUGAGGUCUGCAGCGUAGACUCUUCGGGGUUAGAUACAUUUGUGCUAAGUUAUAGCUUUUUAUAGACAACUUGUUGACUAUAAUUAGUCUUGUAGCUUACUCGCUUAUGCUAUUUUACCUACGCUUAGGAUGUUGAAGUCAUCGUAUCGCGC
rnacentral:rRNA from 1 species